UACGUAGGGUGCGAGCGUUAAUCGGAAUUACUGGGCGUAAAGCGUGCGUAGGUGGUUCGUUAAGUCUGAUGUGAAAGCCCUGGGCUCAACCUGGGAAUGGCAUUGGAUACUGGCGGGCUAGAGUGCGGUAGAGGAUGGCGGAAUUCCCGGUGUAGCAGUGAAAUGCGUAGAGAUCGGGAGGAACAUCUGUGGCGAAGGCGGCCAUCUGGACCAGCACUGACACUGAGGCACGAAAGCGUGGGGAGCAAACAGG
rnacentral:rRNA from 1 species